rnacentral:tRNA from 1 species
AUCUAAAUAGCUUAUAUAGUUAGAGCAUAACACUGAAGAUGUUAAGGAGAUUAAUUUAUUUUUAGGUA